UGGGGAAUAUUGCACAAUGGGCGCAAGCCUGAUGCAGCCAUGCCGCGUGUGUGAAGAAGGCCUUCGGGUUGUAAAGCACUUUCAGCGGGGAGGAAGGCGUUAAGGUUAAUAACCUUGGCGAUUGACGUUACCCGCAGAAGAAGCACCGGCUAACUCCGUGCCAGCAGCCGCGGUAAUACGGAGGGUGCAAGCGUUAAUCGGAAUUACUGGGCGUAAAGCGCACGCAGGCGGUUUCUUAAGUCUGAUGUGAAAGCCCCCGGCUCAACCGGGGAGGGUCAUUGGAAACUGGGAGACUUGAGUGCAGAAGAGGAGAGUGGAAUUCCAUGUGUAGCGGUGAAAUGCGUAGAUAUAUGGAGGAACACCAGUGGCGAAGGCGGCUCUCUGGUCUGUAACUGACGCUGAGGCUCGAAAGCGUGGGGAGCAAACAGG
rnacentral:rRNA from 1 species